rnacentral:lncRNA from 1 species
GUGUAUCUUCUGAUGAGUUGGAUAAUGAGCGAAAAAACUUUCAGAUUUCACCUGCUGAAGUUUCCUCGAACAAAUUAGCCAAGCAUUCUCAGCCUGAAUGAAUUAUGUUGUUGAAAUGUUGCCUUGGAUGUUUUUUGAUGAUCGUAUGGUCAAAUUGUAAUAUUUACCCCGUCGCAGUUUUUGUUGUUUUUAAACUCUUUGCAUGGAGGACGUUGUUGGAACAUUAAUUUUCGUUAAAUAGAUUUUGUAGUUGCAAACAAAA